UCAGAUCAAUCUAUCAGAAUUUCAUCUCAUACAAAAUAGGGUUUAUUUAGCCCUUACCGACCCUACAGUAGGCCUACAGUCGAGCGAUGCAACCCGUACGACCCUAGGAAAAAUUACAUAAAUAUGGGCCCAUAUGCCCGUGUGGGUCCACACCCCUAGAUUGUCCUUGCUUUUGUGGCCCACAUGGCCUGGCCCAAGGAUCCACACGCCAGUGUGCCAUGUCUGUGUGGGCCCACACGGCCACACUCGAGACAUCACACGGCUGUGUUCUGCGUACGGCCAUGCCUUCGUCGAC
rnacentral:lncRNA from 1 species